UCCGAGGUAGCUCAAUUGGCAGAGCAGUUGACUGUUAAUCAAUUGGUUGUGGGUUCGAGUCCCACCCUCGGAG
rnacentral:tRNA from 1 species